AGAAAGGCCAAGAGAGGCAGAGACUGUGCUCACGAUAAUGCUUUGUUGUUCCAUGGAAGAACAAAGAUGAAAACCCAGAUCUCCAGACUUCCUGCAUCAGAAAUCUUUAUUAGGUAUCCUAUUGUCUCUGUGAACAUGAGCUCUGUGUGUGCUGAAGAUCAAAUGUGGAUUAAUCUCCACCGACAAGGCCAGCCAUUGCUGCCCCUCUAACAGAGAUGAGUUGGAAUUUCAUAUCUGAGUGAACUGCCCUUGUGUUUCUUAGUGAAGAUGGAGUCUCAGUCAACAUUUUUACAGAAAGGACACGUCGGGCUCCUUCCCACUGGUGUGGCAGAGAAACAAGGUAAAGAGUGGCCAGUGUGUUCUGACUAGCCAUUGGGGUCCCCGAGGAAAUAAAA